GUGCCAGCCGCCGCGGUAAUACAGAGGCCUCGAGCGUUAGGCGGAAUCACUGGGCUUAAAGCGUGUGUAGGUGGAUGCCUAAGUACCUUGUGAAAUCCCACAGCUUAACUGUGGAAUUGCUUGGUAUACUGGGUGUCUUGAGCCACUCAGGGGCUACCGGAACAAGCGGUGGAGCGGUGAAAUGCGUAGAUAUCGCUUGGAACGCCAAUGGUGAAAACAGGUAGCUGGGGGUGUGCUGACACUGAGACACGAAAGCCAGGGGAGCAAACGGGAUUAGAUACCCCCGUAGUCC
rnacentral:rRNA from 1 species